rnacentral:rRNA from 1 species
GACGAACGCUGGCGGCGUGCUUAACACAUGCAAGUCGAACGGAAAGGCCCUGCUUGCAGGGUGCUCGAGUGGCGAACGGGUGAGUAACACGUGGGUGAUCUGCCCCUUACUUUGGGAUAAGCCUGGGAAACUGGGUCUAAUACUGGAUAGGACCAUGCUGUAGGUGGUGUGGUGGAAAGAUUAGUUUCGGUAAGGGAUGAGCUCGCGGCCUAUCAGCUUGUUGGUGGGGUAAUGGCGUACCAAGGCGUCGACGGGUAGCCGGCCUGAGAGGGUGGACGGCCACAUUGGGACUGAGAUACGGCCCAGAAUCCUACGGGAGGCAGCAGUGGGGAAUAUUGCACAAUGGGCGCAAGCCUGAUGCAGCGACGCCGCGUGGGGGAUGACGGCCUUCGGGUUGUAAACUCCUUUCAGCCAUGACGAAGCCCUUGUGGUGACGGUAGUGGUAGAAGAAGCACCGGCUAACUACGUG